rnacentral:lncRNA from 1 species
GUUGUGAGCUUGUAAAACAACCGGCUGUAAUAUGAGGGAUUAUAGUGAAAUUUCCAAGAGGUCUUGGGGAGUGGAUGUGGGUGCUGGGGUGCACCGAACCACUAUACAUUUUUGUGUUUGUGAUGCCUUAUCUCUUGUGCUUUAUGCCUUACAUUCAUACUUGAUUGUGUAAUAUCUCUAGCUUUGUUUCCUAUUGAUUUAUAUGUGAUUGUUUAGAGCUUGCUUAGCUUCCACUCCAUUCAUACCAUUCACAUAGAUUAAAAUUGAUCAUACAACUAUAA